rnacentral:lncRNA from 1 species
UUGCUUUUUCUUGUGUGGCUUUUUUUAGUUUUCCAAACCGCCGCCGCGAACAGUGGCGCUAGUGCUCACCCCCACCUACCCCAAUCCCGUCGCCGGCCGCACGCACGAGCAGCAAGCAUUUUCAGCGAGAGCACGGAAGGACGCAAACGCACGCGCGCGAUACAAUCGAUUAGCUGAGUGCUUGGUGAUCUGUUGGUAUAGCUAGAUCUUGAUUACCAGAUUCUAUUUCAGUGACACUGAUUCUCAGCCCCGUAGGCGCCGGCUUUCGCGUUUGCGGCUUCUUCAUGCACGAUGGUUUACUUCUGCAUACCGUUGUGAAAGUCAAGCGGCCGAGCAUCAAGAGGAAUUUCAUUUCAUGAGUUCCCCGUGACCGAUAUUAGAAACCAAUGCUUAUAGUUAUGCUUUAUGAUUUAGCCUAUGAUUAUUCUUACGGUUUAGCUUAUGGUUAUGCUUUAUGAUUUAGCCUAUGGAUAUGCUUACGGUUUAACUUAUGGAUAUGCUUAUGGUUUAAGAGGAAGCUUUAGCUCGGGUGCUCCUAUCUAAAUACAUGUAAAAAGAGAAUUCAUUUUUCUCUGCAACCACUGCACCAAAUUUGACAAGGUCUGUUGCAUUUAAAAGAAAAACUUAAAAUCUAGUGACUGUUGGUUUCGAAUUUUCAAUUUAGGUCGUCAAUUUUUAAGAAAAAUUGGCAAGAAUCGCAAAUUUUCAGAAAACGAAACUAUCAAGUUUACAACUCAGUAACUCAGCAAGAAAAAAUGAUAUCGCAAUUCUGUGAAUUGUA